GCGUUGGUGGUGCAACGGUUAGCAUACGCUCCCGGAAAGAAUGAGAUCUGAGUUUGAAUCCCGGCUGACGUA